GAGAAAGCGCAGCCAUGCUUUGCAGAGGCUACAGCAUCGCUCUCAUUGGUAGUAGGAGCUUCUCGCCAAACCGAGUCUUUGCUUGUCCGCCGCCACUCCGAAAGGAACCGGGAAUACAAGCGACUGCCUCCGCGAUGUAAAGAUCUGCAGUGAGGUAUUAAUGCUAAAGUGAAGUGAAAAUACAGCAGAGCACGGAUACAUAUUAGCAGAUCCACCGUGCGGCGUGGACCAAAUCAUGGUGCAUUAUGGGAUAAUGGAGGACUUUUACGCUUUCUGCACUUUUGGACAAAGCAGUCGACGGAAAAGCAUCAAACGGAGUCCUUUUACGCCUGCAAAAGCGGCCUGGGACUUAUAACUACUUUGCCCAAAAAACUACCUGGCUGUUUUGCGUUUAAGUUAUUCCUGUAAACUAACCUCUUGUCCCUACAAUUGAAUGUUGUGGGUUUUUUUUUUUUUUUUACAUAAUACGGUAGACUUGCACAACAACCGGGAGAGGAUUUGAUCUCUUUGGACCCGUGCUUGGGAUUUUUUUAUUUUUGACAUUUUUGACCAAACUUGACAUCCCGAUACAGUUUUUAGUCACACAACACGGGCCUCAAAGGCUGCAAAAAUAUGUGAUUUAUAUUUGUAAAAACAGAUUUGACGGAAAGGUGUCUGGCCGCUUCCCACAGCAGAGUGAAUGCAGCUGGACACACACGACACAUUCCUACACACAUGCAUGCAAACACACACAGACGAGUGGGUUGUGUCUCUCCGUGUUCACAGCGGACCUUGAUUUAAUGUCUUACAAUUAAGGCACGCGGUGAAUGCCAAGAGAUUAUCCUUCUUUCUUCGGAUGUCUGCAGAUCCAAAAAAACACAUCCCAUCUUUUAACUAAUUACAUAUAUAGACAGCAGUCUAUUGGUGUUGCUUUCUCAGUGAAGGUUUGCUUCUGCCGUUUCAAACUGUAACCCAUUACUCAUGUACUGUCUCUUUCCCCCUCUCGUCCAACAAUAAAGCAAAUACAUACAACCAUU